GACGAACGCUGGCGGCGUGCUUAACACAUGCAAGUCGAACGGAAAGGCCCUGCUUUUGUGGGGUGCUCGAGUGGCGAACGGGUGAGUAACACGUGAGUAACCUGCCCUUGACUUUGGGAUAACUUCAGGAAACUGGGGCUAAUACCGGCUAGGAGCUCCUGCUGCAUGGUGGGGGUUGGAAAGUUUCGGCGGUUGGGGAUGGACUCGCGGCUUAUCAGCUUGUUGGUGGGGUAGUGGCUUACCAAGGCUUUGACGGGUAGCCGGCCUGGGAGGGUGACCGGCGACAUUGGGACUGAGGGACGGCCCAGACUCCUACGGGGGGCAGCAGGGGGGAAUAUUGCACAAUGGGCGGAAGCCUGAUGCAGCAACGCCGCGUGCGGGAUGACGGCCUUCGGGUUGUAAACCGCUUUCGCCUGUGACGAAGCGUGAGUGACGGUAAUGGGUAAAGAAGCACCGGCUAACUACGUG
rnacentral:rRNA from 1 species